CUCUUCGUCUGUUUAGUACCAUUUAGUCAACGAACUCAUUAGUCGUGUUAAAAAAAAACACGCUGAUGGUCAUUCUAGCUCAUCGAUGGAGUUUUGAGAACAUUCAGAUUCUGGUAUUCAGUUGACACGUAUCCACUAAUCAGCCUAUGUGAAAUAUUUAAUGUCAUAGUUUUAUCUGUUAAUUUAGACAACGUAUUGUUACUGCAAGAUAUGGCGAAUCAUUGUAGGUAGAGAACCAUUGUAUUUUGUACGUUCCUGUGAAAUAAGCAUGACAGAUAGACAUCUAAUAAAUAAUCUAGAUAAUUUACGUAAAUGAACGGUUCUUAAAACUUACUGUGAACAGUGACAUUUCAGAACCUUGAGACUUCACGGAUCAAACUACACUCAUCGUCUCUGGAUCGUUUUUUAGUUAACACUGCGCCGGAAACUUUCAAUUCUAGUCCCAGGCUUCACAAAUCAAGCCUCAUAGCAAUGGAAGCCAAUACGGAUCCCAGGAGUCCCGCCGAAAAAUGCGUGGGGCCGAACUCUGAGUUCAUCAAACUAGUUUCAGCGGAGGGAAUCGAGUUCUUCGUGGCACGCAAGCACGCCUUGAUCUCGGAAACUAUCAGAGGCAUACUCGCCUGUCCAGGCAUAGAAAACAGAACCAACACAAUCCAUCUGAAGAAUAUAUCAACGGAGGUUCUCGAGGAUGUUAUCAAGUUUAUUAAGUAUAAACAUUACAACCGGACCUCCACGGGGGAGUUUCCUGAUUUCAUUAUUAAACCCGACAUGAUAUACGAACUAAUGAUUGCCGCGAAUUAUCUGCAGCUGUAGCGAUUGAAGCUGGCGAGUACGCUUGUUGUUGUUGCUUGUGUUAAACUUUAUGCUAUCUUUGUAAUCACAGAUCAAAUUGCUGACAGAAUUUUAAAAUUAAUACAUUUUAGUUCUAGAUUUUAAUUGUCAUGACUACAAUAAUUAUCCCCAA